rnacentral:rRNA from 1 species
UAGGGAAUCUUCCACAAUGGGCGCAAGCCUGAUGGAGCAACACCGCGUGAGUGAAGAAGGGUUUCGGCUCGUAAAGCUCUGUUGUUAAAGAAGAACACGUAUGAGAGUAACUGUUCAUACGUUGACGGUAUUUAACCAGAAAGUCACGGCUAACUACGUGCCAGCAGCCGCGGUAAUACGCAGGUGGCAAGCGUUAUCCGGAUUUAUUGGGCGUAAAGAGAGUGCAGGCGGUUUUCUAAGUCUGAUGUGAAAGCCUUCGGCUUAACCGGAGAAGUGCAUCGGAAACUGGAUAACUUGAGUGCAGAAGAGGGUAGUGGAACUCCAUGUGUAGCGGUGGAAUGCGUAGAUAUAUGGAAGAACACCAGUGGCGAAGGCGGCUACCUGGUCUGCAACUGACGCUGAGACUCGAAAGCAUGGGUAGCGAACAGGAUUAGAUACCCUGGUAGUCCAUGCCGUAACGAUGAGUGCUAGGUGUUGGAGGGUUUCCGCCCUUCAGUGCCGGAGCUAACGCAUUAAGCACUCCGCCUGGGGAGUACGACCGCAAGGUU